UACGUAGGGUGCAAGCGUUGUCCGGAAUUAUUGGGCGUAAAGAGCUCGUAGGCGGUUUGUCGCGUCUGCUGUGAAAACUCAGGGCUUAACUCUGAGCUUGCAGUGGGUACGGGCAGACUAGAGUGCGGUAGGGGAGACUGGAAUUCCUGGUGUAGCGGUGAAAUGCGCAGAUAUCAGGAGGAACACCGGUGGCGAAGGCGGGUCUCUGGGCCGUAACUGACGCUGAGGUGCGAAAGCGUGGGGAGCAAACAGG
rnacentral:rRNA from 1 species